rnacentral:tRNA from 1 species
GCGCCUAUAGCUCAGUCGGUUAGAGCAACUGACUCAUAAUCAGUAGGUCCCUGGUUCAAGUCCAGGUGGGCGCA